UACGGAGGGGGCUAGCGUUGUUCGGAAUUACUGGGCGUAAAGCGCACGUAGGCGGCUUUGUAAGUCAGAGGUGAAAGCCCGGGGCUCAACCCCGGAUGUGCCUUUGAGACUGCAUCGCUUGAACACGGGAGAGGUGAGUGGAAUUCCGAGUGUAGAGGUGAAAUUCGUAGAUAUUCGGAAGAACACCAGUGGCGAAGGCGGCU
rnacentral:rRNA from 1 species